rnacentral:rRNA from 1 species
UACAGAGGUCUCAAGCGUUGUUCGGAUUCAUUGGGCGUAAAGGGUGCGUAGGUGGCGCCGUAAGUCAGGUGUGAAAUCUCGGAGCUCAACUCCGAAACUGCACUUGAUACUGCGGUGCUCGAGUACUGGAGAGGAGAUUGGAAUUUACGGUGUAGCAGUGAAAUGCGUAGAUAUCGUAAGGAAGACCAGUGGCGAAGGCGAAUCUCUGGACAGUUACUGACACUGAG